UUCAUUGUAAAUCAUGCAGCCUAGUAA
rnacentral:sRNA from 1 species